UACGUAGGGGGCGAGCGUUGUCCGGAUUUAUUGGGCGUAAAGAGCUCGUAGGCGGUUUGGUAAGUCGGAUGUGAAAUCUCCAGGCUCAACCUGGAGGGGUCAUUCGAGACUGCUAUGACUAGAGUUCGGUAGAGGAGUGUGGAAUUCCUGGUGGAGCGGUGAAAUGCGCAGAUAUCAGGAGGAACACCCGUAGCGAAGGCGGCACUCUGGGCCGAUACUGACGCUGAGGCGCGAAAGCAUGGGGAGCGAACAGG
rnacentral:rRNA from 1 species